rnacentral:rRNA from 1 species
UACGGAGGGUGCGAGCGUUGUUCGGAAUUAUUGGGCGUAAAGCGCGUGUAGGCGGCUCCUUAAGUCUGAUGUGAAAGCCCCGGGCUCAACCUGGGAAGUGCAUUGGAAACUGGGGAACUUGAAUACGGGAGAGGGUAGUGGAAUUCCUGGUGUAGGAGUGAAAUCCGUAGAUAUCAGGAGGAACACCGGUGGCGAAGGCGGCUGCCUGGACCGAUAUUGACGCUGAGGCGCGAAAGCCAGGGGAGCAAACGGG